rnacentral:rRNA from 1 species
CAGUAAUGGCGAAUGAACAGGGAUCAGCUCAGCAUGGAAAUUGGGGCCUUGGCCUUGAAUUGUAGUCUCGAGAUGUAUUGCCAACGGACGGCGCAGAUGUAAGCCUCUUGGAAAAGAGCAUCAACGAGGGUGAGAGUCCCGUUUGUCAUCUGCAGACCCCCGUGCACGGCGUACCUUCCAAGAGUCGCGUUCCUCGGAAUUGGAGCGUAAAUUGGGUGGUAAAUUUCAUCUGAAGCUAAAUAUUGGUUCGAGACCGAUAGCAAACAAGUACCAUGAGGGAAAGGUGAAAAGGACUUUGAAAAGAGAGUUAAAAGUGCCUGAAAUUGCUGAAAGGGAAGCGAAUGGAACCAGUGCGCUUGGUGAGAUUGUCACAUGGCUUCCAUGUGGUGGUUCUUGCCUUGUGUGUCAUUGCCAGUUUGCGUUCGAGGAAAACUCCAGAGACAUGGUAGCCUGGCCCCGGCUGGGUGAAUGUGUCUGGUAGAACUCAUUCGCGUACUGUUUUCUGUGUCUGGUUGCAGUGCACUGUGCCAUCUGGGGGUGGCUGGAGAGGGAGUUUACUCCACUUCUUUGGCUAACUUCUGGGUGACCAGGG